GACGAACGCUGGCGGCGUGCCUAAUACAUGCAAGUCGAACGCAUUUUCUUUCACCGUAGCUUGCUACACCGAAAGAAAAUGAGUGGCGAACGGGUGAGUAACACGUGUGCAACCUGCCCAUCAGCGGGGGAUAACACUUGGAAACAGGUGCUAAUACCGCAUAAUUCCAUUUACCGCAUGGUAGAUGGAUGAAAGGCGCUUUUGCGUCACUGAUGGAUGGACCCGCGGUGCAUUAGCUAGUUGGUGGGGUAACGGCCUACCAAGGCUGCGAUGCAUAGCCGACCUGAGAGGGUGAUCGGCCACACUGGGACUGAGACACGGCCCAGACUCCUACGGGAGGCAGCAGUAGGGAAUCUUCGGCAAUGGACACAAGUCUGACCGAGCAACGCCGCGUGAGUGAAGAAGGUUUUCGGAUCGUAAAACUCUGUUGUUAGAGAAGAACAAGGAUGAGAGUGGAAAGUUCAUCCCUUGACGGUAUCUAACCAGAAAGCCACGGCUAACUACGUG
rnacentral:rRNA from 1 species